AUUGAACGCUGGCGGCAUGCUUUACACAUGCAAGUCGAACGGUAACAGGCCGCAAGGUGCUGACGAGUGGCGAACGGGUGAGUAAUGCAUCGGAACGUGCCCAGUCGUGGGGGAUAACGCAGCGAAAGCUGCGCUAAUACCGCAUACGAUCUAUGGAUGAAAGCGGGGGACCGAAAGGCCUCGCGCGAUUGGAGCGGCCGAUGUCAGAUUAGGUAGUUGGGGGGGUAAAGGCUCACCAAGCCAACGAUCUGUAGCUGGUCUGAGAGGACGACCAGCCACACUGGGACUGAGACACGGCCCAGACUCCUACGGGAGGCAGCAGUGGGGAAUUUUGGACAAUGGGCGCAAGCCUGAUCCAGCAAUGCCGCGUGCAGGAAGAAGGCCUUCGGGUUGUAAACUGCUUUUGUACGGAACGAAAAGGCUCUGGUUAAUACCUGGGGCUCAUGACGGUACCGUAAGAAUAAGCACCGGCUAACUACGUGCCAGCCGCCGCCGUAACAC
rnacentral:rRNA from 1 species